rnacentral:rRNA from 1 species
UAGUUCAGCACUAAGUCACUUUGUCUUAAUGGCAAAUGUGAGAUGCAGUGUAUGGAAUGUCAAAUUUCUAGUAUGAGAAAUUAACGAUUUAAGUCCUUCUUAAAUGAGGCCAUUUACCCAAAGAGGGUGCCAGGCCCGUAUAACGUUAAUGAUUACUAGAUGGCAUUUCCAAAGAGUCGUGUUGCUUGAUAGUGCAGCACUAAGUGGGUGGUAAACUCCAUCUAAAACUAAAUAUAACCAUGAGACCGAUAGUAAACAAGUACCGUGAGGGAAAGUUGAAAAGAACUCUGAAUAGAGAGUUAAAUAGUACGUGAAACUGCUUAGAGGUUAAGCCCGAUGAACCUGAAUAUCCAUUAUAGAAAAUUCAUCAUUAUGAUUUUAAUAUUUAUAAUAUUAUAAUAAUGGUGUGCAUUUUUUCUAUAAAAGGACAUUGUAAUCUAUUAACAUCAAAUAUUUAUCAAAAGAUCAAUUGCAAAUGUUUAUUCAAAUUAUUUUGCUUGCAAUUUAACAUAGAAUAAAUGCUUUUGAUUUGAUAAAGUGUUGAUAGAUUUAUUAUAUAUAGUGCUUGAAUAUUUAUAUUCUAUAAUAGCAUAUUAAUCAUUGAUUUUUAUGUUUAUUAUAUGCACUUAUAUGAUUAACAAUGCGAAAGAUUCAGGAUACCUUCGGGACCCGUCUUGAAACACGGACCAAGGAGUCUAACAUAUUUGCAAGUUAUUGGGAAUAAAAACCUAAUAGCGAAAUUAACAUAACUUAUUUAAUGGGAUUAAUUUUUAGCCUAUUUAUAGUCUAUUAAUUCAAUCCCGGGGCGUUCUAUAUAGUUAUGUAUAAUAAUAUUUAUAUUAUUUAUACCUCUAACUAGAGCGUACCUUGAGCAUAUAUGCUGUGACCCGAAAGAUGGUGAACUAUACUUGAUCAGGUUGAAGUCAGGGGAAACCCUGAUGGAAGACCGAAA